rfam:Clostridium carboxidivorans P7 ctg00045, whole genome shotgun sequence.
UAAUUUCUGGAAUAUUCGACAGACUCUAUAUUUUGAACCUACAUUACUAAAAUGGGAGUUCAAAAUUUAGAUGCAGAUAUGUACUUCCUUGUGAGACCUUUUGACGGCUUUGGGAUUGAUAGAAACAUCUGUGAGGGCACCCACCUAUCGGAGAGAUAGGUGUCAAAAUUAGGGUAACGGUAUUUUGGAUUUUAA